CGUGAGAUUUCAUCUUUCCGUACGAUCACGAUCAUAUUGAUAAAUGCCGAACCUGUCUUUCAUAUGGUCGUACGACGGGCGUACGCCCGUAUACCACCGUACGACCAUUUGAUAAAUGAGGGCCGCUGUCUUUACGGGAGGAGAGCACUU